AGGGAGGGAAUAGGGCCACCAUCCCUCCAGUAACAUUCUCCCCUUCAGUAACACUAGGGCAACCAGAAGUUUUCUUAGUGUGGCACCCACAGCCAUGAGGGGUAUCACUGAUGAUUAGCAUCCAAAGAACCUGAGGCCCAAAGCAGAGAUAGUGAGCUCCAAAUCUCUUAGGUGGAAGACUGAGAUUCCCAUCUGUUUUUUUUUUUUUCAAACCAGCCAGAGUAUUUGGAACAGAAAUGCCUGAUUUGUCUGUUAAAAAGUAAGAGAAUGCUGAAAUUUAAGCUCUGGCUUAAAUUUAAGACUGGUUUUUUCUUGAAAUCUUCGUAUAUGAAAAAGGAAAGUGAAAUCAGAUGACGCUUUUUCCUCUUCCCAACAAACCCCAUAUUUCAAAGAACAGGAGAGUGAAAGGCUCUCUGUCCAGUAGUCAGGCCACCGGGUGUGGAUGACUCAGUGAGAGAGCGGAGGGUGAGAAGCCAUUGGGGCCAAACUAGGGCUCUCAGUGAGUGAGGAGUAGAUAGUCUUCAGCUAGCAGAGUUGGAUUUAGGAUGACACACCAGGAUUUCUGGGGUCAGUGCAGAGGCCAGUGAGAGCCUCCUCCUUCUGCUCCCUGCUCAGCCCCGGGGGUCUUCUUCCUCCACAGUGACUACUGGUGAAAUCUCUUCUCCACCUAUGCUCCACUGAGGGAGACCUGGCCUUUGGAUCCUAGGGGCACAGUGAGAUAGAAUUAAGGGAUCUACUCUGGAAUCACUGAAAGCAACUUGAUGCCUUCUCAUCACUGCUCCCUGCAUCACAGCUCCAAAAGGGACACAUGAUACUCUCCAAGAAUUGGCUGGAAUAAUUCUCUGGCUAUGCUCAGGGAAUAUCCUCUUUCCUGGUAACACUCAGCCUUUUCUGAUACUGAUCAAACAGAGAAAAAGCCUGGGAUUUGGUCCACAUUGGUUUCUGGCUCAUGGAGUUCUCUGAUGUGCCAGGCUCCACAUCUGCGCUAAGGUCAGGUCUUACUUUGCUAUAAGUAUCUUUGUUUGGGGAUCAAGCUAAUUGGCCUGGAAUUAACUAUAUAUAACCUUACAUGGGAAAUCGGUUAAUCUGUGUUCUUCAUUCUGCAUGUUUUGGC
rnacentral:lncRNA from 1 species